rnacentral:misc_RNA from 1 species
AUGAAUCCCGAGCGGCAGGAAACAAUAUCGCCGAAAAAUGUGCCGUUUCAGCCUGUUCCUACGCCAAAUCAACAGAGUCUACAAUCUCGCAUGUUGGAAUCCAAUCAAGCUGUUCCAGAUGCAUUUCAAAAACUUGGAAUCACUAUAAUGCAGUAGCAACACCGCCAAUCGGAGUUCCUCAAACUGCGCGCCCUCCAUCAAAUCAAUCACCACAUCCAAAUCCACCAGGCUAUCCAUAUCAAUCGCAUCAACAACAAUUUCACCCAUUAGCAAUAGCAUUCCAGCAGCCGUUUGGAUUACCGCAACAAGUGAUCUACCCUCCACCACCACCAGGUUUUACGCCACAUCGUGUUCAAGUAUCACCCGUCGGACUUUUGGGACCUCCCGGAUUCUUUCCGCAAUUUGCCGGCUCAACAACUUCUCAAGGAAAUCCAUCAGAAGUUUCAGUCCGAACGAAAUCUGCGGAGGGAACGACAGGUCCGAUUGCUCCUUCUAUCACUACAAAACCUACAUCCACCAUUCAAGUUGCACCUCCACGUGACCCAGUCGCACCUACGACAUCAUCUUCUGGAAUCACCAAAAAGCCUGAAAAUGGUGAAUUUUCGCUAGUAAAAACGAUUUCGGGACAUACUAAGUCUGUAUCUGUGAUAAAGUUUUCGUAUUGCGGAAAGUAUCUCGGAACUGGUUCAGCUGACAAGCAAAUAAAAGUAUGGAACACCGUUGACAUGACGUACUUGCAAACUCUCGCCAGUCAUCAACUAGGAAUAAACGAUUUUUCAUGGAGUUCCAAUAGUCAGUUCAUAGCAUCAGCUUCUGAUGAUACUACUGUCAAGAUAUUUGAUGUUAUCAGUGGAGCUUGUCUAAGAACAAUGCGUGGUCAUACUAAUUAUGUCUUCUGCUGCAGUUUCAACCCUCAAUCAUCAUUGAUCGCAUCUGCUGGAUUUGAUGAAACAGUUCGUGUUUGGGAUUUCAAAACUGGACUCUGUGUUAAAUGUAUUCCUGCUCAUUCGGAUCCAAUUACAUCUAUAUCGUACAAUCACGAUGGAAAUACAAUGGCUACUUCAUCAUAUGAUGGAUGUAUUCGUGUAUGGGAUGCAGCUAGUGGUUCCUGUCUAAAGACACUUGUCGAUACAGAUCAUGCCCCCGUUACUUUUGUAUGCUUCUCACCAAAUGGAAAAUAUUUGCUAUCGGCGCAACUUGACAGCAGUCUCAAGCUAUGGGAUCCAAAAAAGGCGAAACCAUUGAAAUAUUACAACGGUCAUAAAAACAAAAAAUAUUGCCUUUUUGCAAACAUGUCGGUCCCACUUGGAAAGCAUAUCAUCAGUGGUUCUGAAGAUGGACGUAUACUUGUAUGGAGUAUUCAAACAAAACAAAUCGUACAAAUAUUGGAAGGUCAUACUACUCCCGUUUUGGCAACGGAUUCUCAUCCAACACUCAACAUCAUUGCUUCUGGUGGACUAGAGCCCGACAACGUUAUUAGAAUCUGGCGUCGAAACUAG